UUUAUAAUAUAUAUAAAAUUAGUGUAUAUAUGUUUAUUUCAUUAGAAAAAGUGCAGUACAUUUUCAUGGUACGGUCAGUACUGUUUAUUUUUGUAAUAAAGUGAACUUAAUUUUUCCACUGAGUGUUAUAUUUUCAUUCAGUAGUAAUCGGUUAUUAGUAGGUGCUACCCGACUUGGUUAUCAGCGUCUGUAAGAUCUACUGUCGAUCAGCCUUUAAAAUAGAUUAAUGUGUAUGACAUGAUCUUCUUUAAUUAAUAAAGAAAUGCACUUGUUGACAACUUGCUGUGGUAUAAGGGGAAUAAAACACUUCAGAAUGUGCAGUUCUACCUUAGGGUGGUAACGGUCACUCCACUUCAUUGGAUCGUUGACUGUUUUCCUAUAACCACAUGUUUAUUCCUUACAUAAAUUAAACACAAAGCAUGUAGGGGUUCUACAUGCAUGUAGUAUUUGCACAAUCAAUAACCUAUUAGAGUAAUACAUUGUGGUGUAUAUAAACUGAACUUUGUGUUUGAUGUGUCUGCAGUGUCCAAAGCCCGUGGUGGUGGCAGUGCAUGGCGUGUGUGGGGGAGCAGGUCUGUUGGGAGUGUUAAGUACCAUCUCAUACACUCAGCAAACAAUAUGGAUGGAACUUUCCAGAGUUGUGGUGUCACUUUUCCUGCAAAGCUUUAAUCAUCAGAGAGUUAUCUUUUACUGGGGCUUUUAGCUGCAGGAGACUGAAUUACUAACAGUUUUUUUGUGGAUCUGAUUUCUUCUUUCGCAGGAGUGGAUCUAAUCACAGCCUGUGAUAUUCGUCUGUGCACACAGGAUGCCUGGUUUCAGGUGAAGUCAUGUGUUCCCUGAUAGUCAAUGAUUGCUGGAGCUCUGGAAAUAGCAGGUGAGAUUGCAGGCCGGAGUCGCGUCGCUGUCCAAGGAACCAAAAUCAACCUCCUCUACUCCUGAGACCACAGUGUAACUGAGAGCCUAGACUACAUGGCUACUUGGAACAUGAACAUGUUGCAGACACAGGAUCUUAUGAAGUCAGCGCAGGCAGCCCUGGAAAAGAAGAGUCCGAAAGACGUGCCCUUCUCCAAGCUUUAAAGGAGAAGAUCCAGGGCUGUUGAAGCUGCGGUGGAACUGAGACUUCAUCAUCCCCAUAUCUUUAGUUUUUCUUGCUAAGUCUCAGUUUCUUUUUAGUCUUUUUAUUUUUAGACUGGUCAAAAGACUGAUUAGUGGAAGUGAAAUGAUAGAUGAACUUUUAAUUACUUGCUUUAUUAUUUGCAGGUGCCUUGUACAGUAAGACAGGGUAACUAAUACUCAAAAGCUUGUUUUGUGUGUUAACAUGUACAGUAGAUGUACAUAUUUUUUCUGGUCCUGUGUGACUGCAGAAUGUAGUGCAGUUAACACAGUAAAUUUCCUUGGAUGCUCACUUUUAACUCGAGGAGGUCACAGUUUGCCCAGACAUCUUUUUUUAAAUCCGUCACCUGCACGUCAUUCUGGGGGACGAAGAGGAGGAAGCUGGACAGAUAAAUUUAUUUAUUUAUUUAUCAUUGCUGUGUUUCCUCAAUCGAGUGCAGAAAGAAGAAAAACAACACAACUGAUUUAAAAUAAAAAUAUAGAAAACAAUCUAAUGUAAGGUUCUGAUCCGGUUUGCUUUCAGCAGGAAGGCUGUCCUCUUUCCUGUUGCUCUUUCUCUUCUAUUAGUCCAUUUGUCCAGUCUGAAUCGGUUUGAUUCGUUUCGAGACGAUUCGGAGUCAAAUAAUUUUCUAGUGAGAGUCGCACACUUCCAAACGAACUAGACUGAGAUGAGUAUUUGAUUCUCACUAGAAAGUGAUUCGACUCUGAAUCAACUCGAAAUGAAUCAGUCAAACUGAUUCAGACUCUAUAAAAGGACUAUGAGAUGUGAUUAAGAUAUAUAUUCCAAUGUUUUGCUUUACAAUUCCACUGUGUGUGUGUGUGUGUGUGUGUGUGUGUGUGUGUGUGUGCGUGCGCGCGCACGUGUGUUUUUCAGGAGAACGAGAAACUCUGACACAAGAGUACAUCCUGACCAUUGGUACUGUGUACACAUCAACAUACACACACGUCUCCAUGCUGGACAGCUCAGGAGCUUUCACACACAGUGCUAGGAAUAUCCCGGGACAGAGAAACGCACCUUCUAAGUGAGCGAGUUUAGCGUCAACCGGUGAAAUUUGCUGUAGCGUGAACACUUCGCCUCUGUGAGCUUCACUCUCCGUCAGGUUCACUGUAAUUAGACAUAAAAUGUACAUAAUGUUUAUUUUUCAUACAUUUAGGAUUUAAUGUUUUUUUUUUUUUUUUUACUCUUUGAGGAACAUAAAUGAUAUUUCGAGGCAGCUUCUUCUUCACUACCUGCUCCGUUUGACUCAAAAAUGUAACGACCGGUUUCAAAAAGUCACGAUGUCUUCAGUUCAUGUGAUUUUACUGCUUAAUUUAAACAGGAAAUGUGAAAUAUUUUUUUUCCUUUGUUUCCUCUACUGUCUUUUUGCUGUGAUCUUGAACACAGUUGUAAUUUUUUUAAAAAUAAUAAAUAAACGAUCAUUCUAGUUCUCUCACUUUCCUUGUCCUAAUUGUCCUGUAUCUGUUAAAUCUGUUUCAUCUCUGGUCUUUCUGUCUGUAUGAACACUUGUAGAAAUGACUUGUAGUCCAUAUUUUUAAAUGAUUCGUGAUUUUGAAUUUAAAUAAAGAUAUUCUUUAAUUCUG